rnacentral:misc_RNA from 1 species
AAAAAAAAAAAAAAAAAAAGUAUUUGAAGUCCCACUUAGUUUAAGAUUUCUAUUAUAAUUUGGAUUUUUUAAUUCCUAUUUAGUUUUAGUUUGUUAUUUCUAGUUUCUUAGGACUCCAAAAUAUUAUUCAUAAUUAAUUUAGGUCUUUUAAAUUAUUUUCCACUUAGAUUAGGACUUUUUAAUUUAUUCCUACUUAGAUUAGGAUUUAAAAUUCUAUAAAUGCCCCAUUUAUUCUCAUUAUGUACAAGUCUUUCAUAAUUAUUCAAUGAAGUUUUCUUCUUCCUAAAGUUGUGUUUGCAUUAUUUAUUCUUAAACUUUGAAUUAAAUCUUAUAUAUCUUAAGGUCUUGGAUUAGAUUUUGUUUAUUUUCAAGAGUUUGAUUGUGUGUCGAUCUUUUUUCGCGCUACACGCUGCAUUAGUAACCAUUAGUAGUUGGAUGUGUUGAACCAUGUCAACCAUUCAGUAUUCUUAUCUGAUAUGGGUACUUUGGGAUAAAGUGGCAAGUCAAUGUAACUAUGAAAAUACUAAUUAGUUGUCCAUUGUCAGUAUCCUAUCCUCAGUAUUGGACUUAGGCUAUUGUCCCAUCAAUUCCAGGCCAUAGCUUGUAUCCUUGCUAGAUGAGAACUCUAUUAGCUUUGGGCCACGUUUUCCAAUUCAUAGAUUUUACUAUAGUAAAUCUUAGCUUUUGCUGCUAUAUGCUAUGAAAAGACAGGAAUCCAUAAGUGAUGUACCUGCAAAGGAAAAAUUAAUUUGAUGUACAUGGUAAACAAACAGCUCCACAUGGGAAAGGAGACCAUUUGUUCAACAUUAAAAGCUUUAGAAGAUGGUAUUCUACAGCUGAAUGAUAGAUGCAUUUGGUGGAAAACCCCUAAAGCACAGAAAGAUGAGUUUGCAUAUGCAAAUUUAUAUAAUGAGAUGCCUGUCAUCUGUCCCUUCUAGUGAGGAGGAGGAUGAAGUGAUGCAUGAUUCAUGUUUUGAUUCUUACUCAAGUCCAAUGGAUGAGAAUUUUUAAUUUUGAAGCAGAGGAUGUUAUUUGACCUUCAAGUUAAAUUAUAUUCAUUUCUCUUAUUACAUUUCUCCUCUGCUUUACGUUCUAUGAUUUCAUAUUAAACAAAUUCUCUCCCCUGGGUAUAUAUUUAUCUUGAUAUUAUGCCUCCCUUUUUUUCUUUCAAUUAUAACCUUGUUUAUUUUUGUUGGUAGAUUCGAGGUUUAGCAUGGCCUGCAAUUCUUAUUGGAUGGGUUGCUCAAAGUGCAAGGUGGGAAUGCACAAUACUUUUCCCAUGCAUAAUCUGCUGAUUGUGCUGGCAGCCCCUUAAUUUGGUUAUUUAUGAUGCCUCUUUACUAGUUAAUGCAACUAAGAACUACUGUAAUGAUUUUCUUGAACUUGUAGUGUCUAUAUGGUUUGUUUCUUUCUCACAAAAUUCUUUUGGGCCAGUUAAAAUGUUUUGUAUUAAUCUUUGUUCAUUCUGUUUCCCAGCCUUGGCAUGAAAGACUCCUGGGGACCAUUGAAGGCAUUGAUAGUUGCUAGUGCUAUAAAUGGCAUUGGCGAUAUAUUACUCUGCAGGUUUCUGGACUAUGGUAUAGCUGGUGCAGCAUGGGCAACAAUGGUGUCACAAGUAUGCUGAAUAUAUAUUCUGACUUUGAUAAUAAACCCAUUGAUCCAAUCCCACAGUACAUUUUUGCAUUGCCACUUACCUGUAUACAUUUAGGUUGUUGCUGCUUAUAUGAUGAUUGAUUCACUGAACAAGAAAGGCUACAAUGCAUAUGCCAUUUCCGUUCCAUCACCUACUGAUCUUAUGACAAUAUUUGGGCUCGCUGCUCCAGUGUUUGUAGUGAUGAUGUCAAAGGUUUUUUUCAUAGUUACUUGAUUGUACAGAUUAACUAUGUUCUUGUGAUUAUUCUUAUGCAUUUACAUGAGACAUGGAAUUUUAUCAUAGGUGGCUUUCUACUCUCUCCUUGUAUAUUUUGCUACAUCUAUGGGGACACUCAGUUUGGCUGCUCACCAGGUUUGUUUUGCCUAUUCUUAACACUUUUCAGGUAUUCUAGUUGAUGUCUGUGAGAAUUGAUGGUUCUGUACAAUCUCUUACUCUAGGUCCUGAUUCAAGCAUUCAUGACGUGCACAGUUUGGGGUGAGCCUCUUUCUCAAACUGCACAAUCAUUUAUGCCUGAGAUGAUGUAUGGAAUGAAACGAAGUUUGGCAAAGGCUCGAACACUGCUGAAAUCACUGACAAUAAUUGGAAUCAUGCUGGGAUUGAUGUUAGGGAUUGUUGGAACAUCUGUUCCUUGGUUGUUCCCCAAAAUCUUCACACCUGAUCAGAACGUCAUCCAGGAGAUGCACAAAGUGCUGAUACCAUUCUUUAUGGCACUAGCUGUGACACCCUGCAUUCUCGGCUUUGAAGGAACGUUGCUGGUAUGUUUGAUUAAAAGUUUAAUCCAAAUGUUUCUAAUUAAUUUCAGGUGAGUUUUCCAGUAAUUUAUACCUGCCUUUUGGACCAAAGAUUGAUGAAACUCGACCAAGUAUGUGUCUCUGGCACUAGUCAAGUCCUCUUCAGGAAGUAGUAGUUAGUCGUAUCCAUUUGUUCAUAGAAUAGUGGGGUUUCAUCAACUAUAAUGAAGUUUGCUAUAUUUGAUGCAAAAUGUAGGAUUCACAUGAGCAUAAUUUUUUCCUCUUGACAGCGUUUUUGUGUCAGGUAUUAGGUUUAGAAGGACCAGUACUCUUGGAAUGUGCAUCAUCCUCAACAGAAACAUGAAAAUAAAUUGUUAUAAGAGGGGGCCAAAAAACUAAAGGAAAAAGGGGGUGUGAUGAUUUUCUUGAAAUUUUCUUACUUGUUCACUUGUGAUUUUGCAAGCUUUCAUGUGAUAACAUUGUCUUAGACUUACUUAAGCUGCACGAUACCAGUUAACAAAAAAAAAAAUGGUUACUGAUAAUCUUCCCUAACUUGGUUUGCUUAAAUUGUUUUCAAAAUCAUGCUUAAGGAUAAAAUGCUCAUAUUGUGGGCAUGCUUUGAAUGUUUGUAUUCUAGCAUCAUGAAUACUGUUUCCUUCUCCAGGCAGGAAGGGAUCUUAAAUAUCUUAGCUUAUCAAUGGGCGGAUGCUUUUCUUUGGGUGCUGUGGUGCUCUUGAUUGUGAGCAGCAGAGGUUACGGAUUGCUGGGAUGCUGGUGUACCCUUCUAGGCUUCCAAUGGGCUCGAUUUUUCCUUACUCUCCAACGCCUUCUUUCCCCCAAUGGCAUGCUUUUCUCUGAAGAUCCAGGCCAAUUUGAAUUACAGAAGUUAAAAGCUGCAUAGUUUCGGAAUCCAAACAUUUCCAAAACUCCAAUUGUAUACGACGAAAUUUAAGGUAUUCACAAGCCUCGAAUGUCAUGCUUUUAUGCAAUCGAUUAAAUCAUCACAAGAUCAGCAUUUGCUUGUGCCGUAGCUGUUGGAGGUCAAGUGCCAUCAUUGUUCAAUGCCCAAAUGAAGCUAACUGUGCCCUACCUCAUGCUGUAAACAUUGUUUUCUUCAGAGCAAAUGGUACAUCCUAGAUCAAGAGACAAUAUUUGAAAAGCUUUCCCACAUUAAGUGGAGGAAAACAGUAAAUAGCUAAAGUAUUGUUCGUUACGCCAUGCUUUCGA